rnacentral:tRNA from 1 species
GGUCAUGUGGUUCAGUGGUAGAAUGCUUGCCUAGUAUGCACGAGGUACUGGGUUUGAUCCUCAGCACCA